rnacentral:rRNA from 1 species
GGUUAAGCGACUAAGCGUACACGGUGGAUGCCCUGGCAGUCAGAGGCGAUGAAGGACGUGCUAAUCUGCGAUAAGCGUCGGUAAGGUGAUAUGAACCGUUAUAACCGGCGAUUUCCGAAUGGGGAAACCCAGUGUGUUUCGACACACUAUCAUUAACUGAAUCCAUAGGUUAAUGAGGCGAACCGGGGGAACUGAAACAUCUAAGUACCCCGAGGAAAAGAAAUCAACCGAGAUUCCCCCAGUAGCGGCGAGCGAACGGGGAGCAGCCCAGAGCCUGAAUCAGUGUGUGUGUUAGUGGAAGCGUCUGGAAAGGCGUGCGAUACAGGGUGACAGCCCCGUACACAAAAAUGCACAUACUGUGAGCUCGAUGAGUAGGGCGGGACACGUGGUAUCCUGUCUGAAUAUGGGGGGACCAUCCUCCAAGGCUAAAUACUCCUGACUGACCGAUAGUGAACCAGUACCGUGAGGGAAAGGCGAAAAGAACCCCGGCGAGGGGAGUGAAAAAGAACCUGAAACCGUGUACGUACAAGCAGUGGGAGCACGCUUAGGCGUGUGACUGCGUACCUUUUGUAUAAUGGGUCAGCGACUUAUAUUCUGUAGCAAGGUUAACCGAAUAGGGGAGCCGAAGGGAAACCGAGUCUUAACUGGGCGUUAAGUUGCAGGGUAUAGACCCGAAACCCGGUGAUCUAGCCAUGGGCAGGUUGAAGGUUGGGUAACACUAACUGGAGGACCGAACCGACUAAUGUUGAAAAAUUAGCGGAUGACUUGUGGCUGGGGGUGAAAGGCCAAUCAAACCGGGAGAUAGCUGGUUCUCCCCGAAAGCUAUUUAGGUAGCGCCUCGUGAAUUCAUCUCCGGGGGUAGAGCACUGUUUCGGCAAGGGGGUCAUCCCGACUUACCAACCCGAUGCAAACUGCGAAUACCGGAGAAUGUUAUCACGGGAGACACACGGCGGGUGCUAACGUCCGUCGUGAAGAGGGAAACAACCCAGACCGCCAGCUAAGGUCCCAAAGUCAUGGUUAAGUGGGAAACGAUGUGGGAAGGCCCAGACAGCCAGGAUGUUGGCUUAGAAGCAGCCAUCAUUUAAAGAAAGCGUAAUAGCUCACUGGUCGAGUCGGCCUGCGCGGAAGAUGUAACGGGGCUAAACCAUGCACCGAAGCUGCGGCAGCGACGCUGAUGCGUUGUUGGGUAGGGGAGCGUUCUGUAAGCCUGCGAAGGUGUGCUGUGAGGCAUGCUGGAGGUAUCAGAAGUGCGAAUGCUGACAUAAGUAACGAUAAAGCGGGUGAAAAGCCCGCUCGCCGGAAGACCAAGGGUUCCUGUCCAACGUUAAUCGGGGCAGGGUGAGUCGACCCCUAAGGCGAGGCCGAAAGGCGUAGUCGAUGGGAAACAGGUUAAUAUUCCUGUACUUGGUGUUACUGCGAAGGGGGGACGGAGAAGGCUAUGUUGGCCGGGCGACGGUUGUCCCGGUUUAAGCGUGUAGGCUGGUUUUCCAGGCAAAUCCGGAAAAUCAAGGCUGAGGCGUGAUGACGAGGCACUACGGUGCUGAAGCAACAAAUGCCCUGCUUCCAGGAAAAGCCUCUAAGCAUCAGGUAACAUCAAAUCGUACCCCAAACCGACACAGGUGGUCAGGUAGAGAAUACCAAGGCGCUUGAGAGAACUCGGGUGAAGGAACUAGGCAAAAUGGUGCCGUAACUUCGGGAGAAGGCACGCUGAUAUGUAGGUGAAGUCCCUCGCGGAUGGAGCUGAAAUCAGUCGAAGAUACCAGCUGGCUGCAACUGUUUAUUAAAAACACAGCACUGUGCAAACACGAAAGUGGACGUAUACGGUGUGACGCCUGCCCGGUGCCGGAAGGUUAAUUGAUGGGGUCAGCGCAAGCGAAGCUCUUGAUCGAAGCCCCGGUAAACGGCGGCCGUAACUAUAACGGUCCUAAGGUAGCGAAAUUCCUUGUCGGGUAAGUUCCGACCUGCACGAAUGGCGUAAUGAUGGCCAGGCUGUCUCCACCCGAGACUCAGUGAAAUUGAACUCGCUGUGAAGAUGCAGUGUACCCGCGGCAAGACGGAAAGACCCCGUGAACCUUUACUAUAGCUUGACACUGAACAUUGAGCCUUGAUGUGUAGGAUAGGUGGGAGGCUUUGAAGUGUGGACGCCAGUCUGCAUGGAGCCGACCUUGAAAUACCACCCUUUAAUGUUUGAUGUUCUAACGUUGACCCGUGAUCCGGGUUGCGGACAGUGUCUGGUGGGUAGUUUGACUGGGGCGGUCUCCUCCUAAAGAGUAACGGAGGAGCACGAAGGUUGGCUAAUCCUGGUCGGACAUCAGGAGGUUAGUGCAAUGGCAUAAGCCAGCUUGACUGCGAGCGUGACGGCGCGAGCAGGUGCGAAAGCAGGUCAUAGUGAUCCGGUGGUUCUGAAUGGAAGGGCCAUCGCUCAACGGAUAAAAGGUACUCCGGGGAUAACAGGCUGAUACCGCCCAAGAGUUCAUAUCGACGGCGGUGUUUGGCACCUCGAUGUCGGCUCAUCACAUCCUGGGGCUGAAGUAGGUCCCAAGGGUAUGGCUGUUCGCCAUUUAAAGUGGUACGCGAGCUGGGUUUAGAACGUCGUGAGACAGUUCGGUCCCUAUCUGCCGUGGGCGCUGGAGAAUUGAGGGGGGCUGCUCCUAGUACGAGAGGACCGGAGUGGACGCAUCACUGGUGUUCGGGUUGUCAUGCCAAUGGCACUGCCCGGUAGCUAAAUGCGGAAGAGAUAAGUGCUGAAAGCAUCUAAGCACGAAACUUGCCCCGAGAUGAGUUCUCCCUGACUCCUUGAGAGUCCUGAAGGAACGUUGAAGACGACGACGUUGAUAGGCCGGGUGUGUAAGCGCAGCGAUGCGUUGAGCUAACCGGUACUAAUGAACCGUGAGGCUUAACCUU